GCCCUGGUAGUCCAGCGGAAGAGACACGGUUCUCAAACAACCGACAGCGUGGGUUCGAAUCCCACCCAGGGCA
rnacentral:tRNA from 1 species